AUUGAUUUUAUGCUUGCAUAAAUGAUUUUUGGAUUCGGAGCGAGUGGCGAACUGGUGAGUAACACGUGGGUAACCUGCCCCGAAGCGGGGGAUAACAUUUGGAAACAAGUGCUAAUACCGCAUAAUUAGUUGGAACCGCAUGGUUCCAACUUGAAAGAUGGCUCUGCUAUCACUUUGGGAUGGACCCGCGCCGUAUUAGUUAGUUGGUGAGAUAAAAGCCCACCAAGACGAUGAUACGUAGCCGACCUGAGAGGGUAAUCGGCCACAUUGGGACUGAGACACGGCCCAGACUCCUGCGGGAGGCAGCAGUAGGGAAUCUUCCACAAUGGACGAAAGUCUGAUGGAGCAACGCCGCGUGAGUGAUGAAGGUUUUCGGAUCGUAAAACUCUGUUGUUAAAGAAGAACAAGUGUUAGAGUAACUGUUAACACUUUGACGGUAUUUAACCAGAAAGCCACGGCUAACUACGUGCCAGCAGCCGCGGUAAUACGUAGGUGGCAAGCGUUGUCCGGAUUUAUUGGGCGUAAAGCGAGCGCAGGCGGUUUUGUAAGUCUGCUGUGAAAGCCCUCAGCUCAACUGAGGAAGUGCGGUGGAAACUACAAAACUUGAGUACAGAAGAGGAAAGUGGAACUCCAUGUGUAGCGGUGAAAUGCGUAGAUAUAUGGAAGAACACCAGUGGCGAAGGCGGCUUUCUGGUCUGUUACUGACGCUGAGGCUCGAAAGCAUGGGUAGCGAACAGGAUUAGAUACCCUGGUAGUCCAUGCCGUAAACGAUGAAUACUAGGUGUUGGAGGGUUUCCGCCCUUCAGUGCCGCAGCUAACGCAUUAAGUAUUCCGCCUGGGGAGUACGACCGCAAGGUUGAAACUCAAAGGAAUUGACGGGGGCCCGCACAAGUGGUGGAGCAUGUGGUUUAAUUCGAUGCUACGCGAAGAACCUUACCAGCUCUUGACAUCUUCUGCCAACCCAAGAGAUUGGGCGUUCCCUUCGGGGACAGAAUGACAGGUGGUGCAUGGUUGUCGUCAGCUCGUGUCGUGAGAUGUUGGGUUAAGUCCCGCAACGAGCGCAACCCUUAUUAUUAGUUGCCAGCAUUUAGUUGGGCACUCUAGUGAGACUGCCGGUGAUAAA
rnacentral:rRNA from 1 species